GACAGAGGGUGCAAACGUUGUUCGGAAUUACUGGGCGUAAAGCGCGUGUAGGCGGCUAAGUAAGUCGGGCGUGAAAUCCCACGGCUCAACCGUGGAAGUGCACUCGAAACUGCAUAGCUAGAGUCCUGGAGAGGAAGGUGGAAUGCUUGGUGUAGAGGUGAAAUUCGUAGAUAUCAAGCGGAACACCGGUGGCGAAGGCGGCCUUCUGGACAGUGACUGACGCUGAGACGCGAAAAGCG
rnacentral:rRNA from 1 species